rnacentral:lncRNA from 1 species
GUGGCUCUUCUGCCCCUUCCCAGCAGCCUGGGAGCUAUUUGCUUUCCUGUAAUAAAGACUGCUUGCUUGCUGCCUGUGUGUUCCCGGAGUUCAUUCUUUGACUGCGUGAACAAGAACCCAGAUUCUGGUAACAUCUUUCCGGCAUCACUUUCAUGUUCACUGUAUUUCAGAGUUUAGAUUAGUGACUGACUCCUGUAGUUGGCGCUCAGUACUUAGCAUGGUGUGUCUGAAAAAUUACAAAGAGCCCAUUGUUGCUUAGACAAGGGAAGGAGUCACCAGAGAUGAAAAUGGAAGACAGGUCAAGAUAGGUUGCCUAGGACCGCAUGAGCCUGGACGUAAUCAGUGGGGGUUAAUGAAUGGAGGUGAAUGAUCAGUAUGUGUUUUGGACAGGUUCCUCGGGCUGCAUUGUCACAUGUGCAUUGGAUGGGGUAGAGACUAGAGAUCUGGGGUUGGGAGCCAGGUUAGUGUAGAAAGGAGACAGCCUGGACAGAUACGACUUUGUCCUAGAACUGAAGGGACCACUGCUGAAGAGGAGAAAUCUCUAAUAACAUAGGUUUCCAUCUGGGCCCAGAGGUUGAAGUAUGAUACUGUCAACUAGAAUGGGCAUACGAGCAGAGGGAUGAGACCAGUCCUGGAGUUGUGUGUAUGAAAUGCUUGAAGGAAGUUUAAGAGGUGGCUCUUGGGACCUGGAAGACCUACAUUCCCUACACAUAAAGGGGGUAGAACUUGGGAACCAGCGGCAAGGUGGGUCUCACAUGAGUAAAAACUCAAAUUCCCCCAAAAAACUCAAAUGGAACCACCCCUGUGGUAUUGCCACUUCUGCUUUCUUCUAGAAGCUAGCGCUGAAGCUGACCUCAGGACUAUCUUAUUUUCCGAAAGGUAUGUUGGCACAUAGUGUGUGCGUAGACUCACCUCCUUUGAGCUUUUACACAGAGGAUUUGUUGCAGGCAGUUUAGGGGAGGUUUGUCUCCAGGGCCGAGAGGUCUGUGACAGGGCUUUUCAUCCCUCCUCCUAACUUCCUUUCCUGUCAGGAAAGACAUGUCAGGAUUUGUGGAAGUGAGAUGGAUGAAGGUCCUCCUGUACUGGUUCAUUUGUUUUCUAAUUAACCUGUGAGUAUUUAGGAGUGAGCUCCAGAGUGGGGACAGCUUGGACAUAAAGAUGUUGGAAUUUUCAGGCAGUACCUGAAGCUAAGGGAGUAGGUUCAUAUCACUCAGGGAAUGUGUUUACAUGAGAAGAGACUCAAGGGUAGAACCCCUUGGGACACCAACAUUUCAGGGAUGGGCAGAAUUUUAGGAGUGAGUGAAAAACAAAACUGUCCAGAGAGGUAUAAAAAGAAGGAGCAAUAUUUCAGAGGCCAGAAAAGAAGAACUCCAUAGAGUCCAACACUGCAGAGAAUUCAAAUAGGAUGAGGAAUUCAAAGAAGACCUCACAUAUUAUCUUUCAUAUGACCUUUGAGGUUUUUAGUGACCUUUGCCAGAAGGAGUUAUCUUUAGCACUGUAGGAGUGGAAGCCAGAUUCCUGCGGUUGAAGCACUAAUGAGAGGAAGGUCAGAAAGUUGAAGCAGGAAGUAAAAACUUCUCUUAAGUAAUUUGGUGGAGGAGAGCCAAAUGGAAAGGCAUGUUCUAGAACUGGGAAAUGCAGGUAUGUGAAAAAUCAGGAACAGGCAGCAGGCAGAGACUGGAAAGAUAAAAGAAGGUAAUCGAUAUAGCCAGAUCCUGGAAAAGGUGGCCAAGCCAGGAAUCCAGAGCCUGGUCCUCCUCUUGUCUGGAAGAUUGUCACCUUACAUGUAGAUUAAGCAGAACGGCUAGACAGUCUGGUGAGUGGAAAAUAGAGCCACAUGCACUAGGGAGUUGAGGGUAGUAAAGAUUUGGAACAACUAUUUAGAUCACUGGCUCUGUCAAAAAGCACAUAUCAUUGUUGGUCACUUUGGGGGAAAAAUGGAGUAGAAGUCAGUCCUCCCCAUGAGAUCCUGGCAUUCUAGUUGGUCCUGGCCAAGACUGCAAGAGCUGAGAACCCUCAAGUGUUUGCCUUUGCCAUAACAAAUCAAUCUCUUUAUCUAGAUCUGAACUGCAGAGGGUCAUUCUGCCCUUGAAAAGAAACCAAGAUAAAAGGAAACAGCUCUCAGGAAUUAUAAGCAAAACACAACCAGACACUCACUGCGGAUUGCCCCAUUUUCCACCUCUUUAAUGUUUACUGAAUGCCUGCUAUGUGCAAGAUACUGAUUCUUCCUCUGCUGUGACUUUUGGAUAAUCCAGACUUGAAUUGAGGGGGCAUUGCUGGCUUGAAAAUGAUCCAAGAGCAGAAGAAACACUUCUCAAAAUCAUCCACCAAACAAACAAAAAUUGAGAAACGUAGAUUUUUUGUUUGUUUUUUCUCUUCAAGAAUGAACCAGGACUCUAACUUUGGGUUUUCAGUAAGUCAUAUAUCCUGUCUACUAAAGCCUUCCAUUUUCAUUUUUUGAUUCAUCUUAUCUGUAAGACGAAUUAAUCACACACUUCUAUGACUUCUCCUUUGGCCACGUUAUCAUUCUCAGACUGUCCUGAAUUGAAUUAUUAGGAAAUACAGGCCUUGGAAAUGAAGCCAAGAUAAAAGGAAAAUACUCAUGUCCCUACUUUCCCUUAGGAAAUAAAGCAGAUUAAAGUAGU